AUUGAACGCUGGCGGCAGGCCUAACACAUGCAAGUCGAACGGUAACAGGAAGUGCUUGCACUUCGCUGACGAGUGGCGGACGGGUGAGUAAUACUUAGGGAUCUGCCUUCGGGAGGGGGAUAACCAUUGGAAACGAUGGCUAAUACCGCAUAACGUCUACGGACCAAAGGGGGCUUCGGCUCUCACCUGAAGAGGAACCUAAGCGAGAUUAGCUUGUUGGUGAGGUAAAGGCUCACCAAGGCGACGAUCUCUAGCUGUUCUGAGAGGAAGAUCAGCCACACUGGGACUGAGACACGGCCCAGACUCCUACGGGAGGCAGCAGUGGGGAAUAUUGCACAAUGGGGGAAACCCUGAUGCAGCCAUGCCGCGUGUGUG
rnacentral:rRNA from 1 species